ACGCGGAUUCGCGAGGCGGUAUUAUUCGUUGUAGAGUUGUACUGGCGGUUCGGUCAAACAGUCGUGGACCGUUAGAUCCUGGACGGACGGUCAGGAUCGGACGGCGCAGGGGGUCUCUUCCUUUUCUUCUUCUUUCUUCGGGAACCCUCUCGCGUGCGGCGGCGGCGGCGGUCUCGGCUCGGCCUCCUCUUCCGCACCCUCCUCCAGGAGCGCGAGAUCCGAGAUGGGGAACACUGCAUCUGGGGCGACUGAAGCUUCAGAUUCGACGGAAAAAACAGAACAAGCUCCUCCAGCUGACACAAAACCAAAAAAGAAGAUCUGCUGUGCUUGCCCAGACACCAAGAAGUUGAGAGACGAAUGCAUCGUGCAGCAUGGUGAGGACGCCUGCGGGAAGUGGAUCGAAGCCCAUCGGCAAUGCCUGAGAGCCGAAGGUUUCAACGUCUGAUGCCAUGCCCCCAUCAUAGGCAUAGCAAAGUGAUAUUUUGCUCUUGUCAUAAUCCGCUUUCGAUCCUGAACCAACAUGAUGAAUAAAAGAUUCUGUUAGAUCUCUAGGAUGAACUCGCUGUUUCACUUUCGGAAAAGGGGACAAGUCACUGAACAUGCCAAUUUGCAAGAGGGCAUAUGUCUUUUUCCUAAGCACCAUUGAUGUGCAAUUGCCUCAAUUGAUACUGUACGAAAGAAAGCAUGCUUCUUCUUGUCCAUUGACUGGACUUAAGAUUCAUUUAACUUUUAUGCUUGGAUUAUUGCUCUUCGAAUCACCACAUUACCAGUGGUGAAUGUACAAGAUGCUGUCAAACUCUCUCUGUAAAUCUUUUUACCGGUGCAUGUUGCUUCAGUUUUCUGGUCA